AUCACGUGAUCUUGCUUUGGCUUGUAAAAACGGCUCUCGUGCAGCAUAGAUCUAUGCAUGCAGUGAGUUGCUUCACUGCCGAAGAGACAAGAAAAGGAGAGAGAGCCCGACACAGGGUCUUUUCUUAAUAAUUGGAGCUCGUGCCUUGUAAAAGAGUUCGGUGAGUAGCGGUUUGGCUCUUGCUUGCGUUCCACGAGGCAAUGAUCCCUGCACUAGCCUCCCAAGUUCACAACACCCUCUCUCUCGCUCUGUUUCUAUCUAACUGGAUCCAAGACUUAAACAAGGAGGAGUAUUUAAAGAAAAAUAAAGAGAAAAUAUUAAAAGAUGGAAGAAGGCCAAGAGGAAUCAGCAAAGUGCCAAAUCAGUGUCAUGAUAUUGCAAGACAA